GUGCCAGCCGCCGCGGUAAUACCGGCAGCUCGAGUGAUGUCCAAUAUUAUUGGGCCUAAAGCGUCCGUAGCUGGCCGCGCAAGUCCGUCGGGAAAUCCACCUGCCCAACAGGUGGGCGUCCGGCGGAAACUGUACGGCUUGGGGCCAGAAGACCUGAGGGGUACGUCCGGGGUAGGAGUGAAAUCCUAUAAUCCCGCACGGACCACCGAUGGCGAAAGCACUUCGAGAAAACGGAUCCGACAGUGAGGGACGAAAGCCAGGUUCUCCAACCGGAUUAGAAACCCUAGUAGUCC
rnacentral:rRNA from 1 species